rnacentral:lncRNA from 1 species
CCUCAAAUAAGUAAUGCCAAACAGGACUAUGUAUCGUGAUACCAUGCUGACUAAACAGAAAUGACUGACGAAUAAAAACAAUGAUGACCAAUGCCCGAAAUGCGAAAAACAAGCAAAUCAACACUCAACAUGCCGACUGUCAAAAUGAAAGCAUCAACACUAAUAAGUCAACAAUCUGUCAGGCCCUGCCAUCAUGGAAGAU